UUGAACGCUGGCGGCAGGCCUAACACAUGCAAGUCGAACGGUAACAGGAAGAAGCUUGCUUCUUUGCUGACGAGUGGCGGACGGGUGAGUAAUGUCUGGGAAACUGCCUGAUGGAGGGGGAUAACUACUGGAAACGGUAGCUAAUACCGCAUAACGUCGCAAGACCAAAGAGGGGGACCUUCGGGCCUCUUGCCAUCGGAUGUGCCCAGAUGGGAUUAGCUAGUAGGUGGGGUAACGGCUCACCUAGGCGACGAUCCCUAGCUGGUCUGAGAGGAUGACCAGCCACACUGGAACUGAGACACGGUCCAGACUCCUACGGGAGGCAGCAGUGGGGAAUAUUGCACAAUGGGCGCAAGCCUGAUGCAGCCAUGCCGCGUGUAUGAAGAAGGCCUUAGGGUUGUAAAGUACUUUCAGCGGGGAGGAAGGGAGUAAAGUUAAUACCUUUGCUCAUUGACGUUACCCGCAGAAGAAGCACCGGCUAACUCCGUGCCAGCAGCCGCGGUAAUACGGAGGGUGCAAGCGUUAAUCGGAAUUACUGGGCGUAAAGCGCACGCAGGCGGUUUGUUAAGUCAGAUGUGAAAUCCCCGGGCUCAACCUGGGAACUGCAUCUGAUACUGGCAAGCUUGAGUCUCGUAGAGGGGGGUAGAAUUCCAGGUGUAGCGGUGAAAUGCGUAGAGAUCUGGAGGAAUACCGGUGGCGAAGGCGGCCCCCUGGACGAAGACUGACGCUCAGGUGCGAAAGCGUGGGGAGCAAACAGGAUUAGAUACCCUGGUAGUCCACGCCGUAAACGAUGUCGACUUGGAGGUUGUGCCCUUGAGGCGUGGCUUCCGGAGCUAACGCGUUAAGUCGACCGCCUGGGGAGUACGGCCGCAAGGUUAAAACUCAAAUGAAUUGACGGGGGCCCGCACAAGCGGUGGAGCAUGUGGUUUAAUUCGAUGCAACGCGAAGAACCUUACCUGGUCUUGACAUCCACAGAACUUUCCAGAGGUGGAUUGGUGCCUUCGGGAACUGUGAGACAGGUGCUGCAUGGCUGUCGUCAGCUCGUGUUGUGAAAUGUUGGGUUAAGUCCCGCAACGAGCGCAACCCUUAUCCUUUGUUGCCAGCGGUCCGGCCGGGAACUCAAAGGAGACUGCCAGUGAUAAACUGGAGGAAGGUGGGGAUGACGUCAAGUCGUCAUGGCCCUUACGACCAGGGCUACACACGUGCUACAAUGGCGCAUACAAAGAGAAGCGACCUCGCGAGAGCAAGCGGACCUCAUAAAGUGCGUCGUAGUCCGGAUUGGAGUCUGCAACUCGACUCCAUGAAGUCGGAAUCGCUAGUAAUCGUGGAUCAGAAUGCCACGGUGAAUACGUUCCCGGGCCUUGUACACACCGCCCGUCACACCAUGGGAGUGGGUUGCAAAAGAAGUAGGUAGCUUAACCUUCGGGAGGGCGCUUACCACUUUGUGAUUCAUGACUGGGGUG
rnacentral:rRNA from 1 species